rnacentral:rRNA from 1 species
UACGUAGGGUGCAAGCGUUAAUCGGAAUUACUGGGCGUAAAGCGUGCGCAGGCGGUUUUGUAAGACUGUCGUGAAAUCCCCGGGCUCAACCUGGGAAUGGCGAUGGUGACUGCAAGGCUAGAGUUUGGCAGAGGGGGGUAGAAUUCCACGUGUAGCAGUGAAAUGCGUAGAUAUGUGGAGGAACACCGAUGGCGAAGGCAGCCCCCUGGGUCAACACUGACGCUCAUGCACGAAAGCGUGGGGAGCAAACAGG